rfam:Fungal sp. No.11243 DNA, scaffold: sccafold0008.
GCCUUCUUAGCUCAGUUGGUAGAGCGCGACACUAGUAUCCUUUGGAAUAGCUGAUGUCGAGGUCGCCAGUUCGACUCUGUCAGGAGGCA